rnacentral:lncRNA from 1 species
UUUUUUAGAGCAGGUAACUGAAACUAAGCUACAGUUAAAAACCAAAUAAAACCAUGGUAUUUUUUUUUUCUUUUUCUCAACUCGGAGCUACACAGCUGACACUUAGGUUUGGUUGGAAAUUUUUCAGCAAAUCAAAAUUUUGUUGGAAACCUCCCCACCGCUUUCAGGGUCCAAGAUACUCAGGCUCUUGAAAUGCCUUGGAUUCAACAGACUUCUGCAAGCUCAAAGGUGAAUUUCUGCCAGCUAUGGCCAGAGGUAGGAGCUGUCAGGUGCUUAACCCUAGGGCAGAUGCAUCUAGAGGGAGGCAGGGGGCUAUUUUCUUCUGGGCUGAGGAAUGAUGAGUCUCCCCAUUCUGCUCAAUGGUCAACUCUUCUGGAAGAGGUGGAUUGUACAGGACCAGUCUAUAGCCCAGCUCUAAGAGGAAGAUGGAUGGAUAUGGAACCCAGGUGGAGUGACAGUUGCAGGCGGCUGCCCAACACUUGUACUCUUAAAAAGGGAAAACAAUGCAAAGAGAGGAUGUCCCCGGAGGGAGAUCAUGCCCUGCCCCAGCUGCUCACACAUGCAAGACAGAUUUUUUUCAAGCACAAGACCCGGUUGGGAACUGGACUGCCAUUUGUGCCCUUGAAAACACCCCUCUUUGCCUUGCAAGUAUUUGGAAACUUGGCUUCCACUACUGCAAGGGUAGUUAGGGACUGGCAUUACACCUGAAUAAAUGGUCAGUGGUAUGGUACAGGGUGUGAGACACUCAGGGGUGGGACACACAUAUGUACUCCCAUGGGGUAAUGAAGUUUGAAGAGAAGGGCCAGAUUCUUCCUCCCUUGUCCUGACAGGAGCUGAACAGUCUCUGACGGAUGAACAGGGGUUUGCACAGAAUGUGAGCAGGAUCUGGCAAGCAUUUUUGUUGUUCUGCUUUUGGCAGUUUAGCGAGAAGCAACCUCAGUAGUUCAGUAGAAAGCUAAGCAGUUAGAUACUUACCUAACAUCUGUGUCCUUGGAGUGUCCUUAUUGAAAUGGAUAACAUUUUAGAGCAUACAGCUUGUGCGACAGCUCGAAAGAUAAUGCUGAGGUUAUUAGCAACUGCUGCAAGGCUUGAACAAAAAUAAUAGCUGGCUAUAAAACUCAGAAAGUUCUACAAAUUCUGCAGGUAAGUAGAGGUCACCAGGGUCUACAGGACGUAGGAUGUGUGCCAUGGGGACCACAGAUCAUAGGGGUAGAGGCAGGAAAGGCGUAAGAUGCUUGGCACAGCAGCUCAGCUCUUCCCUGCGAAUGUGCUGGUGCUGAGCGUUUGGAAGCAGAGUGGGUGCAUGGUUUGGGUGCUUUGGAGCAGUCCCCAAGGUCAGCGUACACCUGAUGCUGCCUGUGUUUUCAGUCUCAUCCUUGCCCCUAACAGGAAUGAAAUCCUGGAGAUAGUUGGCUCUUCUAAUGGCCUGUAAUGAAAGCGACAUUCUUCCUUCACAGAGGUGUCUUUAUAAUGCAGCAAUCAAACUAAAUGAGUAGAGUUGUGUCCUAUUUCAAAACGUGAAAACCAUGAACUAAGCUGUGCAUAAGGAACAGUUUAGACGACAGUGUAUUUUUGCCAUUGAAUACUUUAUCUCAGCUGUUGCAGUUACAAGAAGGUCUUAUAUAGGAAAGAAAGAAAGAAGUUGCCCAUGGAGUAUCUAACAAGGACCAAAGGUUGUAUUUGUGUUGAAAGCAACGGACUGAGAUUU